AUUCGUUAUCUGAGGAUGGCAAAUAGCUGGCAUGCUUGCUUACAACCUGUUUCCCCUUCUAUUCCUGUUAAUGGUGAUCUAUUGUAAUAUCUCCUGGCCUAGUAAAAUAAUAAUUGACUAGCAAUAUCUGUAAUGGAUUUAUGCAGCAGCAAGUCAGACUAAGCAGUUAUGUCAAGAUUUGCUGUCAUUUAAAAAUAGAAGCAUGAUUCUGGAACAGAGUGCACACCAGGAGAAUCUAAGAAUUUGGGUCAAAAAGAAAAUGGCAAUUACAUCAUGUAUGCAAGAGCAACAUCUGGGGACAAACUUAACAACAAUAAAUUCUCACUCUGUAGUAUUAGAAAUAUAAGCCAAGUUCUUGAGAAGAAGAGAAACAACUGUUUUGUUGAAUCUGGCCAACCUAUUUGUGGAAAUGGAAUGGUAGAACAAGGUGAAGAAUGUGAUUGUGGCUAUAGUGACCAGUGUAAAGAUGAAUGCUGCUUCGAUGCAAAUCAACCAGAGGGAAGAAAAUGCAAACUGAAACCUGGGAAACAGUGCAGUCCAAGUCAAGGUCCUUGUUGUACAGCACAGUGUGCAUUCAAGUCAAAGUCUGAGAAGUGUCGGGAUGAUUCAGACUGUGCAAGGGAAGGAAUAUGUAAUGGCUUCACAGCUCUCUGCCCAGCAUCUGACCCUAAACC
rnacentral:sRNA from 1 species